rnacentral:RNase_P_RNA from 1 species
AGUUGGUCAGGCAAUCGCCCUCUAAUUUAUUAGAGGGAGGAAAGUCCGGGCUCCAUAGGGUAAAGUGCCAGGUAACGCCUGGGGGGCGAAAGCCUACGGAAAGUGCAACAGAGAGUAGACCGCCUAAGCAGCAUUGCUGCCGGUAAGGCUGAAAGGGUGCGGUAAGAGCGCACCGCAUGGCUGGUAACAGGCAUGGCGAUGGUAAACCCCACUCGGAGCAAGACCAAAUAGGAAUCCGCUAGGUGUGGCCCGCACUGGAUUCGGGUAGGUUGCUUGAGGCAGUUGGUGACAGCUGUCCCAGAUGAAUGAUUGUCCGCGACAGAACCCGGCUUAUCGACCGACUUUU